ACUUUAUGAUGAGGAAAUUCAUGCAGAAGGUCCCUAAAAUGCUCCCAAGUCUUGAAAAAUUUCCCAUCAUAUAUCUGGAAAAAAACUAGUGAUGGCUUUCCUAAAUU